UACGUAGGGUGCAAGCGUUGUCCGGAAUUAUUGGGCGUAAGAGCUCGUAGGCGGACUGUCACGUCCGCUGUGAAAAGCUAGGGCUUAACCCUGGCCUUGCAGUGGAUACGGGCAGACUAGAGGUAGGUAGGGGAGAAUGGAAUUCCCGGUGUAGCGGUGAAAUGCGCAGAUAUCGGGAAGAACACCCGUGGCUAAGGCGGCUCUCUCAGUACGGUACUGACGCUGAGACGCGAAAGCGUGGGGAGCGAACAGG
rnacentral:rRNA from 1 species